rnacentral:lncRNA from 1 species
AGCCCUGACGCAAAACAUGAACACAUGUAUAAUGACUUGCAAAGAAAGCCCUCUUCUUUACCGAUAUUCUAUGUUCAAGAUUUAUUAUGCAAACAAGAUCGAGUUCGACUGUUAGGCCUACGGGCUACUUUUAUUUCGAGUUCGAGCAAGCACUCACUCGACCAUUAAGCCUACGGGCUACAUUAUUUCGAGUUUGAAUCAUUCACUCGACUACGAAGCCUACGGGCUACUUUUAAUUCGAGUUCUAGCAAGCACUCAAUCGCCAUUACACCUACGGGCUACAUUAUUUCGAGUUCGAAUCAUUCACUCGACUACUAAGCCUACAGGCUACUUUUAAUUCGAGUUUGAGCAAGCACUCACUCGACCAUUACGCCUACGGGCUAUAUUAUUUUUAGUUCAAAUCAUUCACUCGACUACUAGGCCUACGGGCUACUUUUAAUUCGAGUUCGAGCAAGCACUCACUCGACAAUUACACCUACGGGCUAUAUUAUUUCGAGUUCGAAUCAUUCACUCGACUACUAAGCCUACGGGCUACUUUUAAUUCGAGUUCUAGCAAGCACUCACAAGCCAUUACUCCUACGGGCUACAUUAUUUCGAGUUUGAAUCAUUCACUCGACUACUAAGCCUACGGGCUACUUUUAAUUUGAGUUCGAGCAAGCACUCACUCGACAAUUACACCUACGGGCUACAUUAUUUCGAGUUCGAAUCAUUCACUCGACUACUAAGCCUACGGGCUACUUUUAAUUCGAGUUUUAGCAAGCACUCACUAUCC